AUUGGGAUAUAUGAGGAGUAGGGAGGGUGUCCACGUCAGACAAAAAAAUCAACCAAUCAGGUUGCAAUGUUUUGCCACGUAAGCUCUUUGUUGCCCGUGUUAUUCUUUGGCGUUUUCGUUUGGGCUUUGCGUUUUUCUCCUUUGAUCUGCUGUGUAUACGUUUGGGCCAUGGAGCCCAUCAGACUUUAGAGACAGAAAUCUGAUACCUCGCCGAGUAUGUAUGCUGAGAUCUCGCCCUUUCUCAUUUCUUCAAACCCUAACUCUUCGACAUCCCCUUUGCUCUUCCUCUUAUUUGUUCCGUUUCACGUCUGAUUCUCCAGUGCUGCCAUGAUCACGGAGUCAACUUCUUCGACAACGCCGAGGUUUACGCCAAUGGCCGAGCUGAGAAGAUCAUGGGUCUGGCGAUUCGCGAGCUGGACUGGCGGAGAUCCGACAUCGUGGUCUCCACCAAGAUCUUCUGGGGUGGUCCUGGUCCUAACGAUAAAGGUUUCUCGAGGAAACAUAUCAUCGAAGGAACCAAAGCUUCUCUCAAAAGACUCGAUAUGGACUAUGUAGAUGUCCUCUAUUGCCACAGCUUCAACAGUUUCGUCAAAAGAAGGCUGACAAAAACACUGAUCAUAAAAAGGACCCCAAGGGCAGUACAAGCCAAGGAAAUCCUCCAAAAAAUCUGGUAAGAAGCAUGAGCCUAAACCUGACACUGGUGGUGUCAGUGACGAGGCAGAAGCUCCGUCUGAUGUGGCUGUAGGAGGAGCUUCAUCUCAUGUGAAUAUUGGUGAGGAGGUUGUUGAUCCUCCACCGACUUCUGUAAAUGCAGCAGCUAACAGUGAUGUUUCAGUUGACACGCUUCAGCCAGGAAACACCACAGCAACUUCUGAUAGUGGAGAUGAACCGAGAAAAGAAGUUGCGAAUUCCGAAAAUGAUAUCAGCGUAGCAUUGUCCACGGAAGAAGAGAAUGUGAAGAGUAUCGACAUUGGAGCGGCUGGCGCAGUAGAUUCUUUGACGUCUGACCUUGCAGAUACCGAGAAGGGAGUUACACAUGACGAUGCAGAGGAGUCCCUUCUGGCCGUACGAUCUGAGUUACAAAAGAGAUCUAAUGAACUUGAACAAUCAGAACAGAGGUUAUUAUCUACUAGAGAGAAGCUUAGCAUAGCUGUUGUCACGUGUUAGCUCUGUUUGUUCUCAUAUGCAUUUUAAGACUCAGAGACAGAGAGAGCAUUAUCUGUUGUGUUUUAGUUUUUGUUGUUUCCACUUUUAAAAACAAGUAUAAUGUUUUUGAAACUUAAAAGUUGGCUUUUAUAGUUGUUGUCAAGAGGUCAGUAGUAAUGUAGUAUAUUGAAAAGCUCAUUUAAACGAUUGUUAACUGUGUUAAAAAAACAGUUGUUAAUUAUCAUAUAAGUUUUUAUUUUAUAAAAA